UCUGGUUUAGAGUUCAGGAAUAAUAUAUUGUUCGUUAAUGUUUUUUUAUACGACCUUGAUGUGAGAUAAAAAAAAAAAAAUGUUACGCGUUUUUGACGGCCAGCUAUGCAGCAUUUGUUCAAAUCAUUUCACACCUGGGCUACCUCAGGAAUAGAGAAAUGAGUGAACUAUCGCAUGAAACAGAUUCAGUUUUUCCUCAUUUAAAAAAAAUGAAUCGUCAUCGUUGAACGACGACCAUAGACUUUGGAAUCAGUCAGGUGAAAUCUGCUGCCUUGAUUUUCAACAACAACGCCAAACUGAUCAAUGUAUGCUAGGUAGCUAACAUCGCCAAAAUGAUCAAUGUACGCUAGCUAGCUAACAUCUCCAAAAUGAUCAAUGUACGCUAGCUAGCUAACAUCGGCAAAAUGAUCAAUGUACGCUAGGUAGCUAACAUCGCCAAAAUGAUCUAUGUACGCUAGGUAGCUAACAUCGCCAAAAUGAUCAAUGUACGCUAGCUAGCUAACAUCUGCAAAAUGAUCAAUGUACGCUAGCUAGCUCAGGGACUUUUUCUGCAGAUUGUCUUGAAUAGUUUAAAUAGUUCAGAUAUAUCUCUGCUUGAUAAUUUCAUUGCCACAACUGCUAUGAAAGUAUUGAACACACUAAUGCCCCCAAUCCUAACUCCACUUUCAUUCAUCAUGCCGUCAAUUCAUAGAAAGAAUGUUAGGAUUCAGGCCCACGGUGAGUUAUGAUCUGUUGUCCACAACUGAAAUAGUAGUGUGUUUUAUUAUAUACACUG
ensembl:lncRNA